AGCGGCGGACGGGUGAGUAAUGUCUGGGAAACUGCCUGAUGGAGGGGGAUAACUACUGGAAACGGUAGCUAAUACCGCAUAACGUCGCAAGACCAAAGUGGGGGACCUUCGGGCCUCAUGCCAUCAGAUGUGCCCAGAUGGGAUUAGCUAGUAGGUGGGGUAAUGGCUCACCUAGGCGACGAUCCCUAGCUGGUCUGAGAGGAUGACCAGCCACACUGGAACUGAGACACGGUCCAGACUCCUACGGGAGGCAGCAGUGGGGAAUAUUGCACAAUGGGCGCAAGCCUGAUGCAGCCAUGCCGCGUGUAUGAAGAAGGCCUUCGGGUUGUAAAGUACUUUCAGCGAGGAGGAAGGCGUUAAGGUUAAUAACCUUGGCGAUUGACGUUACUCGCAGAAGAAGCACCGGCUAACUCCGUGCCAGCAGCCGCGGUAAUACGGAGGGUGCAAGCGUUAAUCGGAAUUACUGGGCGUAAAGCGCACGCAGGCGGUCUGUCAAGUCGGAUGUGAAAUCCCCGGGCUCAACCUGGGAACUGCAUUCGAAACUGGCAGGCUAGAGUCUUGUA
rnacentral:rRNA from 1 species